rnacentral:rRNA from 1 species
AUACGGAGGGCGCGAACGUUGCUCGGAAUCAUUGGGCGUAAAGCGCACGUAGGCGGCCUGAUAAGUCGGAUGUGAAAGCCCACGGCUUAACCGUGGGAGUGCAUUCGAAACUGUCAGGCUUGAGUAUGGGAGAGGGUUGCGGAAUUCCCGGUGUAGAGGUGAAAUUCGUAGAUAUCGGGAGGAACACCAGCGGCGAAGGCGGCAGCCUGGACCAAUACUGACGCUGAGGUGCGAAAGCGUGGGGAGCAAACAGGAUUAGAAACCCUAGUAGUCC